rnacentral:rRNA from 1 species
UGGGGAAUAUUGCACAAUGGGGGAAACCCUGAUGCAGCGACGCCGCGUGAACGAAGAAGGUAUUCGUAUCGUAAAGUUCUGUCCUAUGGGAAGAUAAUGACAGUACCAUAGAAGAAAGCUCCGGCUAAAUACGUGCCAGCAGCCGCGGUAAUACGUAUGGAUCGAGCGUUGUCCGGAAUUAUUGGGCGUAAAGGGUACGCAGGCGGUUUAAUAAGUCGAAUGUUAAAGAUCGGGGCUCAACCCCGCAAAGCAUUGGAAACUGAUAAACUUGAGUAGUGGAGAGGAAAGUGGAAUUACUAGUGUAGUGGUGAAAUACGUAGAUAUUAGGAGGAAUACCAGUAGCGAAGGCGACUUUCUGGACACAAACUGACGCUGAGGUACGAAAGCGUGGGGAGCGAACAGG